AUUUUUUUCUUCUUCUUCUUCCUUUUUCCUU
rnacentral:sRNA from 1 species